rnacentral:rRNA from 1 species
GAAUGCUGACAUAAGUAACGAUAAAGCGGGUGAAAAGCCCGCUCGCCGGAAGACCAAGGGUUCCUGUCCAACGUUAAUCGGGGCAGGGUGAGUCGACCCCUAAGGCGAGGCCGAAAGGCGUAGUCGAUGGGAAACAGGUUAAUAUUCCUGUACUUGGUGUUACUGCGAAGGGGGGACGGAGAAGGCUAUGUUAGCCGGGCGACGGUUGUCCCGGUUUAAGCAUGUAGGCUGAUUGUCCAGGCAAAUCCGGAUAAUCAAGGCUGAGGUGUGAUGACGAGGCACUACGGUGCUGAAGUAACAAAUGCCCUGCUUCCAGGAAAAG